rnacentral:rRNA from 1 species
AUCGACCGCUGGCGGCAGGCCUAACACACGCAAGUCGAGCGGAGCGGCGGCCGGGCGAGUAAUGCCUAGGUAUGCGCCUGGUCGUGGGGGAUAACGUCCGGAAACGGGCGCUAAUACCGCAUACUAUCAGAUGAGCCUAGGUCGGAUUAGCUAGUUGGUGGGGUAAAGGCCUACCAAGGCGACGAUCCCUAACUGGUCUGAGAGGAUGAUCAGUCACACUGGAACGUGGACACUGUCCAGACUCCUACGGGAGGCAGCAGUGGGGAAUAUUGUACAAUGGGCGAAAGCCUGAUCCAGCCAUGCCGCGUGUGUGAAGAAGGUCUUCGGAUUGGAAGGCACUUUAGGGUGGGAGGCGGUACCAACAGAGUGAGCACCUGCUAACUUCAUGCCAGCCGCCGCGGUAAUAC